UACGGGGGGGCAAGCGUUGUUCGGAAUUACUGGGCGUAAAGGGCUCGUAGGUGGCCAACUAAGUCAGACGUGAAAUCCCUCGGCUUAACCGGGGAACUGCGUCUGAUACUGGAUGGCUUGAGUUUGGGAGAGGGAUGCGGAAUUCCAGGUGUAGCGGUGAAAAUGCGUAGAUAUCUGGAGGAACACCGGUGGCGAAGGCGGCAUCCUGGACCAACACUGACACUGAGGAGCGAAAGCCAAGGGGAGCAAACGGG
rnacentral:rRNA from 1 species